AUUGAGGAGAAGAUGGAGGCCGAUGCCCGUUCCAUCUAUGUUGGCAAUGUUGACUAUGGUGCAACAGCAGAAGAGCUGGAAGCUCACUUUCAUGGCUGUGGUUCAGUCAACCGUGUUACCAUACUCUGUGACAAAUUUAGUGGCCAUUCCAAAGGGUUUGCAUAUAUAGAGUUCUCAGACAAAGAGUCAGUGAGGACUUCCCUGGCCUUAGAUGACUCCCUAUUUAGAGGAAGGCAAAUCAAGGUGAUCCCAAAAUGAACCAACAGACCAGGAAUCAGCACAACAGAUCGGGGUUUUCCAGGAGCCCGCUACCAUGCCCGGACCACCAACUACAGCAGUUCCCUCUCUCGAUUCCACAGUGGUUUUAACAGCAGGCCCCGGGGUCACGUCUACAGAGGCCAGGCUAGAGCGACAUCAUGGUACUCCCCUUAC
rnacentral:lncRNA from 1 species